rnacentral:rRNA from 1 species
UACGAGGGGGGCGAGCGUUGUUCGGAAUUAUUGGGCGUAAAGGGUGCGUAGGCGGUUUGAUAAGUCUGAUGUGAAAUCUAUGGGCUCAACCCAUAGUCUGCAUUAGAAACUGUCGGGCUUGAGUAUGGGAGAGGUGAGUGGAAUUUCCGGUGUAGCGGUGAAAUGCGUAGAUAUCAGGAGGAACACCUGUGGUGUAGACAGCUUACUGGACCAUUUCUGACGCUGAGACACGAAAGCGUGGGUAGCAAACAGG